UACGUAGGGUGCAAGCGUUGUCCGGAAUUAUUGGGCGUAAAGAGCUCGUAGGCGGUUUGUCGCGUCUGCUGUGAAAACCCGAGGCUCAACCUCGGGCCUGCAGUGGGUACGGGGCAGACUAGAGUGCGGUAGGGGGAGAUUGGAAUUCCUGGUGUAGCGGUGGAAUGCGCAGAUAUCGAGGAGGACACCAAUGGCGAAGGCAGAUCUCUGGGCCGUAACUGACGCUGAGGAGCGAAAGCAUGGGGAGCGAACAGG
rnacentral:rRNA from 1 species